GCCCUCGCCGCUCUCAGCUUCUGUUCCUCAACCACGGCCGCCGCGUGGAUGCCGCUGCAUUCGGAGUCGUUUUGCCACUUGGUCCCAGCGCGAGGCUUCUCGGUCGGGAGUCGACCUCAGCCUUUCCGUGGCCGGGUUCCUGGCACCCAGCAGGCGCUCGGUGGGCGGACGGGCAGCGGAAUGAAGGCCACCGAGGCCACCGCGGGGUCUGGCCUCUAAGAGGCUUUUACGGCCUCCUCCGUCACUACCGGGCGAGUGAUUCAGCCUGCCUGCCUUUUUUUUUUUUUUUUUUUUUGAGAUGGAGUCUAGCUCUGUCGCCCAGGCUGGAGUGCAGUGGCACGAUCUAGGCUCACUGCAACCUCCGCCUUCCAGGUUCAAGUGAUUUUCCUGCCUCAGCCUCCUGAGUAACUGGGAUUACAGGUCUCCAUGCCAGUGAAAUGUCACCUCAACUCCACCGUUCCUGGUGUCAGGCAAGCCCGAGGUACCCAAUUCUGCCUUUCUUCUGGAUUUUCCUAACCUGUGAAGAGUCUUGAAAGUCCUUAAACCACGGGAGACUACCUGGCACAUGACACGGGAUGAGACUUGGUGGGGGUCCCACGGAGGACAGGUCGUUCCAGCGGUUCCUCCGCACCCAGCGCUGCACGGGCCCGGGGCGCGGGAAAUCAGCCUCCCGAAAGCCACGCCUGCUUCGGCCUUCUGCUUUUCUGUUGCGUGGUGACCCUCACCAGAGGACAGCUUCAUGCUCUUGGACUUCCCAGCCUCAAGAACUGUAAGAAAUGAAUUUCUUUAUAAGUUGCCCAGUCUGUGGUAUUUGGUUAUAGCAGCAGGAAAUGGACUAAGACAAUGCCCUUUAUCAGAUCAAAUUCCCUUUCAUUUCUACUUUGCUAUUUUUACCAUUAAUAGAAUGUGAAAUAUAACAAUAACAAACAAUAACGUUUGACACAUUGAAACGUAUCAAAUGUUAUUUUUUGGCAUCUAUUGAGAUGAUUAUAUUGUUUUUCUCUUUUAUGCUAUUCAAAUGUUUACUCAAAUUGACUUUCUAAUGUUGCACCUACCUUGAAUUCCUGGGUUAAAUUUCGCUUGUCAUGAUGUAUUAUCUUUUUUACAUAUUGCUAGGUUUGAUUUGCUAAUACUUUCUUAAGCAUAUUUUUGUGUCUGUAUUCAUGAGAGAUAUUGAUUUAUCAUUGUGUUUUUCUGUAAUGUCUUUCUAAGUUUGGGUAUAAUCAUUAUUCUGACUUUAUAAAAUAAACUCAGUUUCCUGAGAGUCU
rnacentral:lncRNA from 1 species